GCCUAGCCGUAAACAUUGAUUUGUCUCGAUAUCAAACAUCCGCCCGGGGACUACGAGCGCCAGCUUGAAACCCAAAGGACUUGGCGGUGCCUUAGACCCCCCUAGAGGAGCCUGUUCUGUAACUGAUGCCCCCCGUUUAACCUCACCCUCCCUUGCUCUUCCCGCCUAUAUACCGCCGUCGUCAGCUCACCCUGCGAAGGACUUCAAGUGAGCAAAAUUGGCCAAUCCCUAAAACGUCAGGUCGAGGUGUAGCACAUGAGAGGGGAAGAAAUGGGCUACAUUCGUUUAUCAACGCACACGAAUGACUUAUUGAAACAUUAAUCUGAAGGAGGAUUUAGCAGUAAGAAAGGACUAGAGAGCC
rnacentral:rRNA from 1 species